GGUAGGGCACAGCGAUGUAGCAACCUCACGUGCGUCUCUUUGGCUCUUCUCUCGUUAAAAUGGAUGAUGUGAUAGAGAUCAAGUCAAGUGAAAGUUAUGUUGAAAGGGAUAAUAUGAUAACAGUUUGCUUGGGUAGUUUAGUGCGAGCUAAAAUCGCAAUGGUAAACUUGAAAAGAGAUUUAUGGAAACAUGUUUUGAAUCCGUGGAUAUUUUUGCAAUCCUAAUUGCCAUGACUUCAAAUUCUCAUCCCAUAGUGAUGAAAAGCACUGUUACAAAUUUGAAGUGCUAUUUUCAGUAUUUUUAUGAUUAUUCCCACGAACGGCCCAUCGAGCGUCGCUAUCACGAAAAUUUUCAAAUUCAAAAGGAAGAUUCUCGCCGCUCAAACGGCAAAACGGGGACGAAUAGACGAUUAAAAGGUAUGGUUAGAAAGAUAAAUAUGUGUCCUAUGAUUCUGCGAGGUUUAUUUUGCCAUGCGAGUCUGGAUUUUAAAAGGAUCGGUGGAUUUGUUGAGCACUUUGGAAUUUGGCGGUUGUCGGAGUUUGCAACCUUGUCUAUUUUAUAUACAGAAGGCGACGGGAAAAAUUCGCAGCGGCUAAAACAGCU